AUGAUGCCUGCCUGCCUCAGACCACAAAAAAAUGUAUCCCUGGACUCUUGUUCAUCCAAAAUAAAAUUCCCUAAGCUGGGGGAAGAAUGCAAGGGGAGCAGCUUUCUUAUUGCUUUUGCAUCUGGCUGCAAAGCUGUGGGACACAGAGGGAAUACACAGCAAGGACUGCUGCAGGUAUGUCUUGUUUCCUCAUCCUUCCUCCCUCCUCCCCACCCCCUUCCUCUGGUUUUGUUUUUAAUUUUUGGCAAUGCUGUUAACAAGCAGCCUCUGGGGAAUACAGAACCAGCACUGUGGAAAAUAAGAGGAGAGGAAACUUCCAAGCCUUUGGGAACCCAGCAUCCUCCUGGCCUCUGUGCAGAGCAACUCAACAGCAUCAGCUCGGUGUGAAAGCUGGAUCCACCCUGAGACAACAUGAGCUGCACAUCUGAGGACAUGUUCAUAAAGAAGAGAGGUGCUGCACCAAACUCCACUGCUCUCACCUCUGGUCCAGCACCCUUUCAGUUAAAUCAAGAGGCAUUUUUAUCCAGCUGUAACUGCACCUGAGUAGCUGUCCCCUUGUGCUACAAAAAUAAGACCUGAAAUUUGCCUGACAAUGCUAUUUUCCUACAUUGUGGGUGAUCCUUCCAGUGAAUUUGGCACAAGCUUUGCCCAAGUUGAAAACAAAAAGCCAACUCCUGCUAUUAUUUCUUCUAUGUAUGUCCUGAGAGAGCUGAUCUUGAAGCUGGUGAGGGUUAUUUUGUUCUCAUACCUGUCACCACAGGGCUGCUCUGAUCUAAGGUACUGGUCUAAAAUAACCAUCCAGGGCAGGGUGGAUGGUUAUACUCCAUGCUCUGGAUUUCCCAUGUCUUGAAAGCCAAAAUCCUAGCUUAAACCUGCAGUAGAUAGAGAUAGGUCCAAGCCUUUCUUACCAUCAAAUUUGUCUCCCCUGUGCACUACACUCAUUUACACCUGGAGCACACCUGGAGCAAAGCCAUGCUGCACAGGUCUCUGAAAAGGCCAUAAGUGAAUCUGAGCUCAGUGGGGCUCAAGUUCCUCCUGGAGUGGGCUGAACACAGAACAGCUGGAAGAAUGAUGGAACAACCUUUUCCUCUUUUCCUGUUCACAUGGACACUGCUCCACAGGGGCAUGGGUGGCUGGGCCUUCCCUUUGUGAUGCAAAUGCACCAGGCAGGACUGAGCAGAGAAGGGAGAGGGAACUGGGAUGUACAAGGAUGCAGGGGGAGCCCUGAGAGGAGAUCAGCUCUCUUGAGGGAUCUCCCCAGCCUUCUAGAGGAUUUCCUUCAAAAAUUAGGGGGUUCCCUAAUUUUAAAUUUUAAUUCUUAUUUUAAGCAGCUUUGAAGCCAGGUGAGACCCAGUCUGCCAUUUCACUAUGAUGUCCAAGAAAAAAAUCCAUGAAAAUUUACAUGGACACAUUUAGGUCCUAUACAGCAGGAAGGGACCUAAACAAGAGGGGAGGACCUCAGACUUACCAGACCUUUGGCAUUUCCUGACUCAGCAUUAGGGAACUCAAACCCACCUUGGCUUGCACACUGGUGUCAGGUUUUUGGUGUGAUGCAGGGCCUGGCUCUGAGCACUCUUAAAUCCAUAGGCAGAGGUGUGUGAGGAGGUCACCUGCUCCUCUGUUGUGGCUGAGCUCAUGGACAUCUCCAGCACACCUGCUCACACACACACUGAUACUGAAACUGGCUGGGAAAGGGAUAAAAGGACCCUUUUUAUGUGUCAAUGAUUUUUCAACAACGCACAGAGCAAAUUUGGCUGGGUUUAGCUUGACUUUGUGAAGCCUCAGAGAACCUUCUCAGUUCCAGACAUGGUCCUUCUCAGGCAGCAGAGGCUUGCUGGCAAAGCCAAGCCUGAAAAGUGGCAGUGGAUCUCUGUUUGCUGGGGGAAAACAUAAAGCUUCAUGGCCCAGCAUUGUCCCCCAGUUGCCAUCUGUAAAUACUAAAAUCACAUUGAAACCAAGCUAAUGAAACACUGAAAUCUAAAAUUAACAAGCCACUCAAAUAUAUAAAUGUACAGAAUUUAUAAUUCUAUUAAAUUAAAUUUUAUUCCUGCACUUGUAAUUGAAGAUAUUUAUAUAUAAUGGGAAAAAAAAAAAAAGGAAUAAGUAUUUAAGGGUAGUAAGGAAGGGCUGGAAAUGGAAAGAAGAGGGUUUGUGCUGCAUUCCUGCUGACAUAAAACUUGUGUCAUCACCCUCUUCCAUGUGUGCAUGUGCCUGUCCCACCUCAGGUGGAGAAAAUGGAGAUUAUAAAACCUUCCAAACCUCAGUCUUCAGCUCUUCUUUGGGCAGAAUGUUUUACUAUAUUGAUUUCAUUUGCAUUAAAAAUGCUUCUCUGGAAAUGAAAGGCUUGCAUCUGUCUCAUUAUUUUAGAUCUGAUCUGGCAACUGAGUUAAUAUUAAAAUGACAUAUACACACAAAUCACAUUUCCUAUGUUACAAAUAGCAGGAGCAAAGAGAAUAUACCAACAUUAAUAAUUUACCUUUUGAGCUUAGCCCUUCUUUAUUUUUCUGAAACUUCCACAAGCAGAUUGCCAUUUCCUCCAAUUUAUUCAUUAUUCAAAUUCAGUCAACAGUUUAAAAGAACAUGUUUACCUAACAGAUAGCUUGCAUUUUGCUUCCAUUUUCACUGCUCAGUAUUUGUAACAAAGUGUGAGUCACAAUCAUGUAAUUAAAUCACAUAAUAUAAUUCCUUUUCCUCAGCUAAAUCAAAAUGUAAUACUUCUGGGGAAAAAGUACUGCCAAUGUGUCUAUAAAAAUCAGAUUUCUACAAAUAGCUUUGUCUAUGUCUGAAUUUCAUCUACAUUCAUUCUCAGCCACUUGGAUGUUUAGCAAAUAAUCAUUAAAACAGACUGAGCUGUUUUAUUUCCUCCCUUCUCUGCAAAGAACGAAGGAAAAUUCAUUUGCUUUCCUUUAGCCAUCUUCAGCUUCUUCUGCCACCCAGUCACUCCUUUCCCCUUGGUCCUGCAGGUGCCAUUAACCACAACAAAAAAGGCCACUGACAGCAGCUGCCUUUUAGUUGCCUUUUAUUCACUUUUGAGCACAGUCUUUGGGGUUUUGCAGAUCCAUGGUGAAAGUGAAAACCAAUAGUAAACUAAAGAAACAUCAGGGGCAGAACAAUAAAUCUUUCACACUUCCUCUCA
rnacentral:lncRNA from 1 species